rnacentral:lncRNA from 1 species
CCGGAGCAGCGCCAGCAACACCAAGACGUACCGAUCCUCACAUUUCGGGUCAGAUUUGCAGAGUUUCAGUCAACCUGCAGGCUAGCUGCUGCUGCGCCUUCACAUGCAUUUAAAGACUAUAAGAAACAGCAAUUAUGUUAUUUCUCAUCUUGUGCAGCACAACCCGCUGCAGCUCCUCGGUCUCCCCCCGGGGUCGGGUUAAACCAGGAGCUCUCAGCAAGGGCCCGGGUCAGGCAGGGACCCGGCCGGGGCAGCCUCCCGCUGCCACCUCACCCGAGACCCGAACCGGGGCAGCCCCGCACCGGACCAGCCUCUGGGGAUCAGGAACCGCUGCCACAGGGCAGGCGGGAAAACAGAAUCACACAAUCAACUAGGUUAGAAAAGACCUCUGAGAUCAUCGAGACCGAGCACCACGGUGUACAGAGAGCCCGAUACCGCCGCUGGCCCCGACCCGCACCCCCGGGCUGCCCCUCACCCCGGAGCCGGUUCCCCCGCCGGGGCCGCCUCCCCUCACGCCGCCACCACGGCCCGUGUCCCGCACAACCCCGCACUCACCGCGGCGGUGGCAUCACCCCUUCGCCCGCUGUGGCGCCCGCUGUGGCGGCGCUGGCGCCAUGUGACCGCUGCCUCCUCCUCCUUCUCCUCCCCAUUCUCCUCCUCUUCCUCCUCCUCCUCCUCCGCCGCCAUGACAGGCAGGGCUGGGGCGGCCGGAGAACAUGGCGAGACCUGAGGGCUAUCGCCGAGGCGCUGUGGGGCUGUGGCCUGCGUCCCUUUUUCCGAGCUGUGAGGGGAAUCAGGAGUGCAGGGCUUUGGAUGUGCGGCUUUCACUCCCUCCCCUCAGAUUUGCUGUGUAUGUCUCAUCGCACUGGGUUUACACGGUGUCUGGCAGCUCUUUGUGACGAUCAGAGCCUUUUCCAGCCCCUCGAGGUAUUUGUUUCGGGCUUUUCAUCCCUACAUGGCCCCCUGGAAGUUGGGACAGAAUUGUUUGGGUCGGAAAGGCUCUUUGGAGAUCCCAUCCUGCCCGACUCUGCCAAGGCAGGUUCACAUGGAGCUGGUGACACAGGAAUGUGUCCAGGUGGAUUUGGAUCCAGAGAGGGGAGACUCCGUGACCUUCCUGGGCAGUUGUUCCAGUGCUCUGCCACACUCAAUGUAAAGAAUGUCUUACUCAUCUAG